GAUGAACGCUGGCGGCGUGCCUAAUACAUGCAAGUCGAGCGAACAGAUGAGGAGCUUGCUCCUCUGACGUUAGCGGCGGACGGGUGAGUAUCACGUGGAUAACCUACCUAUAAGACUGGGAUAACUUCGGGAAACCGGAGCUAAUACCGGAUAAUAUAUUGAACCGCAUGGUUCAAUAGUGAAAGACGGUUUUGCUGUCACUUAUAGAUGGAUCCGCGCCGCAUUAGCUAGUUGGUAAGGUAACGGCUUACCAAGGCAACGAUGCGUAGCCGACCUGAGAGGGUGAUCGGCCACACUGGAACUGAGACACGGUCCAGACUCCUACGGGAGGCAGCAGUAGGGAAUCUUCCGCAAUGGGCGAAAGCCUGACGGAGCAACGCCGCGUGAGUGAUGAAGGUCUUCGGAUCGUAAAACUCUGUUAUUAGGGAAGAACAAAUGUGUAAGUAACUAUGCACGUCUUGACGGUACCUAAUCAGAAAGCCACGGCUAACUACGUG
rnacentral:rRNA from 1 species